UACGGGGGAUGCAAGCGUUAUCCGGAUUUAUUGGGUUUAAAGGGUGCGUAGGCUGUGAGGUAAGUCAGCGGUGAAAUGCCCCCGCUCAACGGGGUGAAGUGCCAUUGAUACUGCCUUGCUGGAAUGCGGAUGCCGUGGGAGGAAUGUGUGGUGUAGCGGUGAAAUGCAUAGAUAUCACACAGAACACCGAUUGCGAAGGCAUCUCACGAAUCCGCUAUUGACGCUGAUGCAUGAAAGCGUGGGUAUCAAACAGG
rnacentral:rRNA from 1 species